rnacentral:piRNA from 1 species
UAACAUGGCCAUACAUUCUUCACGCUCAU